rnacentral:rRNA from 1 species
GACGAACGCUGGCGGCGUGCCUAAUACAUGCAAGUAGAACGCACAGUUUAUACCGUAGCUUGCUACACCAUAGACUGUGAGUUGCGAACGGGUGAGUAACGCGUAGGUAACCUGCCUGGUAGCGGGGGAUAACUAUUGGAAACGAUAGCUAAUACCGCAUAAUAUUAAUUAUUGCAUGAUAAUUGAUUGAAAGGUGCAAUUGCACCACUACCAGAUGGACCUGCGUUGUAUUAGCUAGUAGGUGAGGUAACGGCUCACCUAGGCGACGAUACAUAGCCGACCUGAGAGGGUGAUCGGACACACUGGGACUGAGACACGGCCCAGACUCCUACGGGAGGCAGCAGUAGGGAAUCUUCGGCAAUGGACGAAAGUCUGACCGAGCAACGCCGCGUGAGUGAAGAAGGUUUUCGGAUCGUAAAGCUCUGUUGUAAGAGAAGAACGGGUGUGAGAGUGGAAAGUUCACACUGUGACGGUAUCUACCAGAAA